ACAGAUUUGUAAGAGUAGAAGAAAAGAGUAGAGAAACAGCCUGAGGGUCUCAGCAAGCAAGGCUUUAUUGCAGUAGAGCUAAGGGACUAAGGAGUGUGCAUAGAAGACACAGUUGCUUGCCUGAGGAAAUUAAGACAAAAGAGAUACUGUGCGUAAGGACUACAGGCAGCAAGAAUGUCAGAUUGUGCUACUGGGUGGACAGACAGAGGCGAAGAGGAGAUGACAGUGGGAGGCUCCUGGAGCAGGCAGAAUGUGCAACGAGCAAAAUCCUGCAGACUCCAAUGUAAAGGAAAAGACAUGACAGCAGAGAGGUAUAAUCUCAAGGCAUGCUGAGAUUUUAGAGAGUCUUUGCAAGGAUACAAGCUUGCUCUGUAUUUCUUUUUGCUAUGCAUUUUCAUGAAAUAAUCUAAUUUUCCAUUCAUAAUCUGAUUUGAAUCAAGAACACAGGUUUCCAUUGCCAAUCAACUGCAUGCAGGUUAACACCAUCAACUGUUGUCUUUUUUUGCCUCAUUAUUUCUCUCCACACAAGCAUGAGGAACUUUUAGGUCAUACUGUAUCUCAAAUUACCCUGGGGACAGAAAACAAAGGUGUCAGAUUUAUCUCUCCUUAAGACAACUCCACUUGUGAAGCGACAUCAGAAACUCACUCUGAAUUGGGAUGUCUGCAGGAGAGGUUGGGAAUGAGACACUGGGUCCCCUGAGGGAAGAAGUUCAAGUGCCAGGAGGAUGGAGGAGCUGUGCUGUCUACACACAGACACAUGCAUGUUCAGUGACUCAAGUUUGAAUCUCCUUCUCUCACGCUGUGCUGGAAGGAGCCUGGUUUUUGCCAAGACCCAGAGAGAAACAGCGUUAACACUCAGCUUUCCGGACAGCCUCACCACCCCACUGAUGCUGGCACAGUCAGUGCUGAAAAAGGAAAAGCUGUGAGCAGAGGGAAAGCAGGGCAUAAAAUAUUCUCUGCUUUCUUUGAGGCUUCUAACAGCUGCAUUUGUGAGGUGAAUGGAAGGGUAAUACCAGGCUUCAGAGAAUAAAAAACCUUAACUCCUCUUCAGCAGAGGUAUGGAGGAAGCCCAGGGACCGACAGCCUUGUAGUUUCCAGGAAUGGCACUUAAGCCAAAAUCUGAGGGCACUGGGAUCUGAAGAACUGUCUUUAACAGAGCUUCUUCUCCUUGGGCAGCAUGAGCACUGGGAGAAGGAGAGUAAGGAUCAUCAUUUUCUGAUCACUCAAUAAACAAUCCAGCAAAGCCAUCUGACUGAGGAGACAUGUCCUGGCUUGGAACUCAUAGACAUAAAAAUGAGAACAAUCAGAAAAAGAACUCAAAGUAGCAAUUUUCUAUCUCCUGCAUCUGUUCCCUGAGUGCCUGAAGUCAUAUUGACUCAGCCCAAUGACAGAAACAAGGUUUCUUCCUGCCAGGUCUCCAGGGUCCACUAAAAUAUAAAGGAAAGCAAGCUGCAUCUCCUCCCCUGACCACACUAUGACAAAGCUGUCAGAACAGCUCUGACAGAAUCAUGCCUGCAGCAAUGUCUGGUGAAAAAGCCACAGAGAGCCACUGCUCUUUUACAUCACUCUGGAGAGAAGUGCACUGGAAACCGGAGAUAGAAAGUAUUUUCUUCUGUAAAUUUCAUCUAUUUCAUGCUUAAAAGCAGUGAACUGGAAUAAACAAGAACUUCAACAAA